CCUACGGGAGGCAGCAGUGAGGAAUUUUCCGCAAUGGGCUAACGCCUGACGGAGCAAUGCCGCGUGGAGGAGGAAGGCCUGUGGGUCGUAAACUCCUUUUCUCAGAGAAGAAGAUCUGACGGUAUCUGAGGAAUAAGCAUCGGCUAACUCUGUGCCAGCAGCCGCGGUAAUACAGGGGAUGCAAGCGUUAUCCGGAAUUAUUGGGCGUAAAGCGUCCUGAGGUGGCUUACCCAGUCGACUGUGAAAGCUCAAGGCUCAACCUUGAAACGGCAGUCGAAACUUGUAAGCUUGAGUACGGUAGAGGCAGAGGGAAUUCCCGGAGGAGAGGUGAAAUUCGUAGAUAUCGGGAGGAAGGCCAAAGGCGAAAGCACUCUGCUGGGCCGAUUACUGACACUGACAGACGAAAGCUAGGGGAGCGAAAGGGAUUAGAUACCCCUGUAGUCCUAGCCGUAAACGAUGGAUACUAAGUGUUGCGCGACUCAACUCGUGCAGUGCUGCAGACUAACGUACGGUAACGGUACGUACCCGUCCGUCGGGGAGGUAGUGCGUCGCGAAGAGUAGAACGUACAAAUAGAAGUUAGUACGGCGUGAGACGUACGCCGAACGGACGACCGACCGAGGGAGGAGGG
rnacentral:rRNA from 1 species